CGAUUCUGGCUCAGGAUGAACGCUAGCGGCAGGCUUAACACAUGCAAGUCGAGGGGCAGCGCGAGUAGCAAUACUUGGCGGCGACCGGCGCAAGGGUGCGUAACGCGUGAGCAACAUGCCCGUAUCAGGGGGAUAAUCCAGGGAAACUUGGUCUAAUACCCCAUAGUAAUUUUGUAAGGCAUCUUAUAAGAUUUAAAGCUUUGGUGGAUACGGAUUGGCUCGCGUGACAUUAGCUGGAUGGUAAGGUAACGGCUUACCAUGGCUAUGAUGUCUAGGGGUUCUGAGAGGAAGGUCCCCCACACUGGAACUGAGACACGGUCCAGACUCCUACGGGAGGCAGCAGUGAGGAAUAUUGGACAAUGGAUGGAAAUCUGAUCCAGCCAUGCCGCGUGAAAAGGAAGAAGGUCCUAUGGAUUGUAAACUUCUUUUGUAUGGGAGCAAUAAGGCCUACGAGUAGGUUGAUGAGAGUACCAUACGAAUAAGCACCGGCUAACUCCGUGCCAGCCGCCGC
rnacentral:rRNA from 1 species